rnacentral:rRNA from 1 species
CCUACGGGGGGCAGCAGUGGGGAAUAUUGCACAAUGGGCGCAAGCCUGAUGCAGCCAUGCCGCGUGUGUGAAGAAGGCCUUCGGGUUGUAAAGCACUUUCAGCGGGGAGGAAGGCGAUGAGGUUAAUAACCUCAUCGAUUGACGUUACCCGCAGAAGAAGCACCGGCUAACUCCGUGCCAGCAGCCGCGGUAAUACGGAGGGUGCAAGCGUUAAUCGGAAUUACUGGGCGUAAAGCGCACGCAGGCGGUCUGUCAAGUCGGAUGUGAAAUCCCCGGGCUCAACCUGGGAACUGCAUUCGAAACUGGCAGGCUAGAGUCUUGUAGAGGGGAGUAGAAUUCCAGGUGUAGCGGUGAAAUGCGUAGAGAUCUGGAGGAAUACCGGUGGCGAAGGCGGCCCCCUGGACAAAGACUGACGCUCAGGUGCGAAAGCGUGGGGAGCAAACAGGAUUAGAUACCCCGGUAGUC